rnacentral:lncRNA from 1 species
GUUAGAUGAAGUCUGUUGUGAAGAUUAUUCUAAUGGCUUUUUCUAAUGUCUGUUGUGAAGAUUAUUCUAAUGGCUUAUUUUAAUGGAAGCCAUUCUCUUCUGUCGAAGAUGCUCCACUCACAGGAAUCGUGGACAGCAAAGGUCUUCACAUGAACUGCAGUAUGGUGGACAGCAGUCUUCACAUGGACUGCAGCAUUGUGGACAGCAAAGUAUAUUUCUUUAUUGCAUGCGUGUGUAUUUUGAUGUAUAUAAAUAUCUGCUGCUAUUGCAGCAGAUGUGUAUGAUAAUAUAUUCAAUCCAUUUCUUUUAUGGUAUCUAGAGCUUUUUUUGUCUAACGACAACGAUCCUCGUUUUCCUAUCCUUCCCAUCCUCGCUUCCAUGGCUGAAACCAAUGUUUCUGCUAGUUCAUCCACCCUCCCAAACAACUCGUUUCAUCCGUUUUCCACUGUUGUUAAUAUCAAACUGGAUAGAACCAACUACCCACUGUGGUUGGCUCAAAUACUUCCUAUCCUAAAAAGUAGGGAUCUGAUGGGAUAUGUUGAUGGCACGCUGGUGUGUCCUCCAAAGAAUGUGACUGGUGCAACCACUCUGAACCCAGCGUAUACUGCCUGGGUACAACAGGAUCAAAUGAUCCUCAGUUGGAUAAAUGGUUCUCUAACUACCUCUGUCUUGUCUGUGGUGGCAAGCAAACGAACUGCUCGAGCAACCUGGGAAGCUCUUGAGCAAAGGUACGCCUCUACUUCUCAAAAUAGAAUUUUGUUUUUGAGAAAUGAGUUGUUGCAGACCAAGAAAGGUGAUCUAUCUGUGGUGGAUUACCUAGAUCGCAUGAAUGCGAUAGCUGAUAACCUUGCCCUAGCUGGGCAUCCUGUGAGUGAUGAUGAGCUCGUGCAGAUUGUGUUGAACAAUCUUGGACCGGCCUUUGAGAUGACAGUAAGUGCUGCACAAGCUCGUGAUAAUCCUAUCACGUAUCCCACUCUUGAAGCACUCCUGCUCACAACCGAAAGAAGAAUGGCGGACCAAACUGUCCCUUUGGUGGAAGGUGCUACUGUCAAUGCCUUCAUUGCGUCUAGAGGCCGUGGUGGAGGCCGCUCUCGUGGAAAUGGACGAGGCACCUCUCCAACCACUCGUGGUGCUCAAAGAAGCUACAACCCACGUAAUAAUAAUUAUCAGCGCAAUCCUUCAGGUAAUAUUGAAAGAUCGGCUUCAUAUGGUGAUCGCAUUGUUUGCCAAAUCUGCGGCAAACCUGGACAUCCCGCUCUUGACUGCUACCACCGCAUGAAUACUGCUUUUGAAGGCCGAAUUCCUGCCCAACGUCUCUCGGCAAUGACGUCCUCCACCAUCCCCAUCAACAAGCAGCAAAAUGGAAAUUGGCUCCUGGACACAGGUGCCAACGCACAUAUUACUCCCGACUUUCAGAAUUUGGUAAAUCCUAAAGACUAUACUGGUAAAGAUGGUGUGGGAGGUAUAGGUAAUACUUCUGGAAUUUCUAUUGCACAUUGUGGUUCAACUCAACUUAAUACUACUGCUUGCUCAUUUGCUUUACAAGAUAUCCUUCAUUGCCCUACUGCUUCUACCAAUAUCAUCUCCGCCCAUAGGUUCACCUUAGACAAUGACUGUUAUUUACUAAUCUUUCCACAUUUUUUCCUUGUUAAGGACCUCAAGACACGGAAGACGCUUUUCCGAGGGAGAUGUGAGAAUGGGUUAUACCCAUUUCCAAAUGGCAGUGGUCACCUCAAGUAUCCAGUUUCUGCGUUUGUGGGCGUUAGGGUGUCUGUUCAAAAGUGGCAUGCUCGUCUUGGUCACCCUGCCAAACCAAUAAUCAAGUUUUUAAUUUCAAAUAAAUUUGUACCAAUUCAUGGUACAUCUAAUGUCAUCUUUUGUGAGUCAUGUCCUUUAGGAAAGAGUACUCGGUUACCUUUCAGUAAGUCUGAGUCUGUCUCUCAAUUUCCUUUGCAACUUUUACAUUCUGAUGUGUGGUGUUCUCCAAUUAUUUCUAAUGAAGGUUUUCGUUAUUAUCUGUUGUUUGUGGAUGAUUAUUCCCGAUAUUCUUGGAUCUUUCCCAUGAAACAAAAAUCUGAAGUUUUUGACAUAUUUGUAAAGUUUAAAGUUAAGGUUGAAAAGAUGUUUAACUGUUCAAUUAAAACCCUUCAAUGUGAUGAAGGUGGUGAAUAUAAAAGUCAUGCCUUUCAAAACUUUCUUGGCGUCCAUGGAAUUUCUCAACGUUUUUCUUGUCCAAAACAUCCUGAACAAAAUGGAUUGGCAGAACGGAAACACCGACACAUUGUCGAAACCAGUAUUGUUAUGCUUUCUCAAUCUCAUAUGCCUAAUAAGUUUUGGUUUGAUGCAUGCUUAACUGCUACAUACUUGAUAAACCGUCUGCCAACUCGUGUACUAUCAAACAUAUCUCCUUUUGAGAAAUUGUUUCAAAGAAAACCAAAUUAUGCCAUGUUAAAAGUUUUUGGUUGUCGUUGUUUUCCUUGGUUAACACCAUAUAAUCAAAAUAAAUUACAACCAAAAUCCAAGUCAUGUGUCUUUCUUGGGUAUUCUCUUGAUCAUCAAGGAUACAAAUGUUUGGAUCUGUCCACAAGACGAGUUUACUUGUCUCGCCAUGUCCUAUUCGAUGAGGAUUUUUUCCCUUUUAAGGGACUCACAUCUCCUCCUGAAAGCGUUGCAGCCCAAGGUAACAAUCUUUUACCCCAAUUAUUAUUUACUUUUCCCUUAACCACAACUGUUCCUGUGUGUCCUACUACACCAAAUACCCAUAGUGCCCAGUCCUCUCUUGAUACUUCUAUCACGCCACAUAUCUCUUCCUCUCCUGGUCUAACAUCUCCACCCCCAAUACCAUUACCAUCUAACCAUUCCUUAGGAUCCACACUACAAUCACAUGAGCAAGUGUUAGUCAAUUCACAUUCUUUGCCACCUAAUGUGUCUAGUGAUACUGGCCACUCUAUGACUACACGUUCCAAGUCUGGAGUUGUCAAACCCAAUCCAAAGUAUGCUAUGCAUGUUACCAUUAAAGAUAUUCCUGUUGAACCAACAUGCUUCAGUCAGGCAGUCAAGCAUCCUGAGUGGAGGGAAGCUAUGGUGCAAGAAUUUAAUGCAUUACAAAGGUGUGGCACGUGGAGUUUAGUUCCACAUCAAUCUGACAUGAAUGUACUGCCAAAUAAAUGGGUGUUCAAAAUUAAGCGCAAAGCGGAUGGCACUGUUGAGCGUCAUAAAGCUCGGUUAGUGGCUAAUGGUUUUCAUCAGAAGGCUGGCGUGGAUUACACUGAAACUUUCAGUCCUGUGGUUAAACACAGCACCAUUCGUUUUGUCUUAAGUCUUGCUGUGUCAAAGAAAUGGCCUGUCCGCCAACUGGAUGUAUCAAAUGCGUUCUUGCAUGGCUACUUAAAUGAACAUGUUUACAUGCGGCAACCAUCAGGCUUCAUUGACAAACAGUUUCCAAAUCAUGUUUGUAAGCUGCAACGUUCUAUUUAUGGUUUAAAACAAGCACCUAGGGCUUGGUUCCAACGCUUCUCAGAUUUCUUGCUUCAACUGGGCUUUGAGGAGUCCACAUGUGAUUACAGUUUGUUUGUGUUUAAUCAACGGGGUGUAUAUCUCAUUCUUUUAAUCUAUGUUGAUGACAUUCUUCUCACAGGGAAUAGUCCUCGCCAGAUGGAUCAUUUGAUUAAGAAACUUGGUAGUUUGUUUUCAAUGAAGGAUUUGGGAUCACUAAGUUAUUUCCUGGGUAUUGAGGUCACGUAUAAUGGUGAUUUCAUGCAUCUCUGUCAGUCCAAAUAUGCUCGGGAUCUACUGACUAGAACUACAUUCACAGACGCAAAGCCCAUUUCCACUCCAGUGCCGUCUGGUCAGAAGUUGAGUGCCUAUGCUGGAGAUCCUUUUGCCAAUCCAGAGAUGUAUCGUAGUGUUGUUGGGGCACUACAGUAUCUUACGAUCACUCGGCCAGAUUUAUCAUAUGCUGUGAAUCAAGUGUGCCAGUUCAUGCACUCUCCAAAAACAACGCACUGGAUGGCUGUAAAGCGAAUCCUACGGUAUCUGAAGGCUACGUAUAAUCAUGGGCUAUUGUAUAAACCAGGAACUGUGGAGUUGACAGCAUUUUCUGAUGCAGAUUAUGCUGGCAACCCCGAUACUCGUCACUCCACAGGUGGUUUCUGUGUUUAUUUGGGUUCCAACCUUGUAUCCUGGAGUUCAAAAAAACAAAAGACAGUAUCGAGGUCGAGUGCAGAGGCAGAGUAUAGGCAGUUAGCUUAUACUGCAGCAGAGUUAUCAUGGUUAAGGUCUCUUUAUAAAGACCUCCAUCUCCAUCUGGUUCAACCAACCAUUUGGUGUGACAAUGUUUCUUCAAUUGCCCUUGCGUCCAAUCCGGUUUUUCAUUCGAGAACCAAGCAUCUUGAGGUUGACUAUCAUUAUGUUCGUGAGAAGGUUGUUCGUGGUCAGUUGUUGGUCAAUUAUGUGUGUUCCCAGGACCAACUUGCUGACAUUUUCACUAAAGGAUUGUCUUCGUCCAGAUUUCAGUUCCUUAUCUCCAAGCUCCCAGUUGUACCACCCCCUGUUAGCUUGCGGGGGGCUGUUAGAUGAAGUCUGUUGUGAAGAUUAUUCUAAUGGCUUUUUCUAAUGUCUGUUGUGAAGAUUAUUCUAAUGGCUUAUUUUAAUGGAAGCCAUUCUCUUCUGUCGAAGAUGCUCCACUCACAGGAAUCGUGGACAGCAAAGGUCUUCACAUGAACUGCAGUAUGGUGGACAGCAGUCUUCACAUGGACUGCAGCAUUGUGGACAGCAAAGUAUAUUUCUUUAUUGCAUGCGUGUGUAUUUUGAUGUAUAUAAAUAUCUGCUGCUAUUGCAGCAGAUGUGUAUGAUAAUAUAUUCAAUCCAUUUCUUUUAC